rnacentral:rRNA from 1 species
UACAGAGGGUGCAAGCGUUAACCGGAAUCACUGGGCGUAAAGCGUGCGUAGACGGUUAUGUAAGUCAGAUGUGAAAGCCCCGGGCUCAACCUGGGAAUUGCAUUUGAGACUGUGUAGCUAGGGUGCGGAAGGGGGAAGCGGAAUUUCCGGUGUAGCGGUGAAAUGCGUAGAUAUCGGAAGGAACACCAGUGGCGAAAGCGGCUUCCUGGGCCAGCACCGACGUUCAGGCACGAAAGCGUGGGGAGCAAACAGG